rnacentral:rRNA from 1 species
ACGGGAGGCAGCAGUGGGGAAUAUUGCACAAUGGGGGAAACCCUGAUGCAGCGAUGCCGCGUGGAGGAAGAAGGUUUUCGGAUUGUAAACUCCUGUCUUAAAGGACGAUAAUGACGGUACUUUAGGAGGAAGCUCCGGCUAACUACGUGCCAGCAGCCGCGGUAAUACGUAGGGAGCGAGCGUUGUCCGGAAUUACUGGGUGUAAAGGGAGCGUAGGCGGGAUUGCAAGUCAGAUGUGAAAACUAUGGGCUUAACCCAUAGACUGCAUUUGAAACUGUAGUUCUUGAGUGAAGUAGAGGUAAGCGGAAUUCCUGGUGUAGCGGUGAAAUGCGUAGAUAUCAGGAGGAACACCAGUGGCGAAGGCGGCUUACUGGACUGUAACUGACGUUGAGGCUCGAAAGCGUGGGGAGCAAACAGGAUUAGAUACCCUGGUA